UAUGCAGAAAUUCUCCAGUGCACCAUCUGCUCAGGGCUUGUGGACAUCUGCGAGUUACCUCCCUGUGACAGGGAUACCUGAGAGCUGUGCGUCUCUAGCAUCCGCAACUAGCUGAAACAUUUCAAAGCUGACCACUGGUUUCUAGAGCAAAGCAAAGGUGUGAAGUCGGCCAGGCCCUCCUCAGAGGAUUAAGGGAAAUUGUCAAUUGGACUCGCAGCAGGAAUUAAUGCGGGGCAGCGCUGCGGCCAGCCGAGGCACUGUGUCAGGAGGGAUAAUCACAGCGGUCCCCUUCAGCUUGGCAAUUUCUGAAUCUCUGAAAAUAUCCAUCCAAGAUUUAAGUCUUCAGAAUGCACAUAUUCAAUCUUUAUUCUGAGCCUUUCAGGGAAUUAAAAAGACUCUGAGAUCUCCCUGUACUCUCCUGCCUCUGGUAGCUGCAGCUCCAAAGACGGUACCAGGAAUCAGAAGAGUUGGAAAAAUCACAAGGGGUCAGGGCUGGCUUAUCUGUCUGUGGUGGUUCAUUCUGUCUAUGCACGCUGCUGAGAAGAGAGGAGCAUUUCCUCCAGAGGUUUUAGCAUUCUGUAAGUAAAAUCAAUUGAUUUUUAGAUCAUGGUGCUGAGAGUUGAAAACCAGUUGGGAUGCAUUUUGUUUGACUUACUUAUUUAAAUAGCUCAUGCUGUUUGAAUACUUAUACUUGCCUUUUUAUUAGCUCACCCAUGUAGCAAUUUGUAUGUCUAUAUCUUGUGUCUUUGAAAAAAAAAAAGCAGCUGGCAUGUAGGGCUACAAGUAGGUAUUAGCCAACAUCUGAUGUAGAGAGAGUCGAUGUUAUGGCCUCCUAACCCAAGCAGGGCACAAAACCCUAAGCUCCUCAGGUACCACUGGGACAUUUUGCCAUUCUUGCCAGCCAUUCUCAUGGCUGAGUUCUCCUGUGGUUGGUGUCUUUUGGGCUGUCAAGGGCACCAGUACCACCACUGCACUGUGGUUAUGUUGCAAUAACCCCGCACACUGCUAUAAUAGCUAAACUGUGAAGGGCAAGGUCACCUCUGGUACUUGCAAAGCCAAUUAGGACUUACAGAGCACUAAACUCCGAUUUCUUCAAGCCAUUUCAUUUUAUUGAUCAGACACAUUUUUAUUUCCAGAUUACUCACUCUUGGGAAUCAUCCAGGUUUCAUAGUGCGAAGGACUGUGUAAAAUGUAAUGAUUCAGCACUCCCAGUGUGGCUGUCUGUGGGUUUUGUUAACCUUGCAAGCUACAUUUAAGAUGCAAGACAGGGCUUGAAGAGCACCAUUAUAUAUCUGAUGCUCUUCUGAAAGAGCUCUCCAAUUUGCAUUUCCUUCCUGUCCUCUUUAAAAUCAAAACGCAUCCUUCACCUCUUUCUUGGUUAAAUCCUAGGAUUUUCCUGGAGGGGAGAUCCCCAGCACGUAAGAGAGUUCAGCAAUUCAGACAGUGCAUGGACUGAUGCUUAACUCUUCUUCCAAAAAUACCUCUACAGGUUGGGAAGUUUUUCCCUAUGGCUAAUGGGUCUCAGAUCAGACAGGUGGCACUUCCGCCGAGGGGCUGGAGCUGAGCCUUGCCCACAGAAAGUGCAGCAUGUACGCUGUCACUGCUUCUUUACCAGCCUCGUGAGUUCUGGCUCUAGGCACACACAGGCAUUUUUUGGAGACUCUGACAUGAGCAAAACAUCUUUACUGGCAAUUUAAUGCCUUUUUGCACAGGGAAGUUAUGUUCUUUUUGCCUCAACUGAGUAAGAGUCUUAAAAUCUAAAGAAAGGAAAUACAGUAAUUCUAUAUCUAUAGAGAGAAAUAUACAGUAAAUGCGUUAGUAUGUUGUGCAAUAAAAAGAGCCCUCAUGUCUUAUAAAUACAGGCACUUGGUUUACCAUGUGCAUGCAGUCAGUCCUCCAGUAUCCACAAGCUGCUCAAAGGGCACACAGCUGCGCAGGUCUGAAGCCACUGAAGCCGCCUUUGUAUGUGAUUCCCCCACUUGCUGAGACAUCUUGGACUGAGAAUGACUCUGAGAAGAGCCACUGUCAUUGCCCUGGCCCUGGGUGUAUUGGGGGAUGCAGGGCAGUGAGACCUGUGCUGCCUCUGCAUGGAGCUGGUUUAUGUUCAAAACAGUAGCAGCCAUUCUCAUUACUCUAGGUAACACAGAAAUCCCUCUUACACCGCUGAUGAUACACAGAUUGCCUGGAUAUUGGGAGCAGCAACAGAGACAGGUGGUUGUAGAGUGACAGCUGAAUCAUCUUUGUGUGAGGCAUCUGCAUAAAUAUCUGCAGAGCUGAGAGGGUUGGACUAUCUGCAGAGUUAUUCUCCUAACCAAGCUGGCUGUGCUUUCGAGGCUUACAGGUUUCCCUUGCUGUGUAGCCAAGUAGUCCUACAGUCCCCUGAAAUUUGGCUGAUGGAAAUCCAUGCUAUCACACUUCAUUACAGGAUGACCAGGGACAGGCAUGGGGAGAAAAAGCUAGGCUGGUUGCAAAUGCCUCAUUUCCUUCAGAAAUCAGACACAUGCACACACAUAGGCUGGCUGCGAGCAGCUCUGAGUAUAUGCGAGAUGAGAAUGGUGGCCUGUAAAGUCAAACAAGAGCAGGGUGCUGAGAGCUGCUUAGAUAUAGAGCCUUUCCUCAGCAGCGGCCAGCCUGAAUUUUGUGGAUUUCCAUGGUUUUUCUUUUCAGUCUUCAGUCAUGAUCUCCUCUGAUGUUAUUAUGGCUGUGGCUGCUCGUCUCCCCUUCCCCAGCCCAUGCAAGUUCAUCCCAGGGAAGCACCAAGCCAAGAGCUUGCACAAAGCCAGCCGGGCUCUUGCGGGACUGCUGGCACUGGGCUCUCUGCAAGACCACAGGCCACCUCUCCUCUGGAAAAAAGUACCACCAGUGCCUUGAAUUUGAUGUGAGAUGUUGUAUUUCUGUACAUCACAGAAACCUAGGAAUUGGACAUUUAGUUGAGUGGCAAGUUCAAAUUGCAAAUUACCACACUUUACAAGUAUUAUUCCCCUGGCUUUGCUUACAAGGCAAGGAAGAACCGAUGCAAACAGAUUUCUCCCUUUGCUUGCCUGAGGAACUCAUUCCUCCUUCAAAACUCUGUUUCAAAUUUUUUUUGAGAAACAACACCUCCAAAUAGUAGAGGAUAUAUCAGGAAAUAUGAGAAGAUUUCUGUGGAAUCAUCAUGUUGUCACAUUCCCAGUUCACCUCCUUGCCUCAGAUUCCCUUUGUUCCCCCUCCAUCCUCCCACCAGCCUCCCUGUUUGUUCUUUUUCCUUUUGACUGCCCACUUUCACAUUUGUUUCGGCUUUCCUUCAGUCUUUUAAUACUGUAUCUAUUCCUUGAAUUUACUGUGGUUUGACAUUCUGUUUCAUGAGUCACUGUUGGGGAUAGAGUUUGAAGCAGAUCAAAUCACACAAACUAGUUCUUACAGCUCCCUACAACUAGUUCGAAGUCAUACUCUUUUUUUUCUCCCCAAUAAACCAUUGUGGAUUCUUUUCUCCACACACACACCCCCAAAUGAUGAUGAAGUAAAUACACAUAUUUAUUGCAUGUGGUGAUGACUAUAUGCCAGUGGAGGGGACCCACAACUUUCUUCCUUUUCCCUUUGCAUGGGAGCUGAGCUAACACACCACAGAAAGUCUGAAUCAUGUCUUCUUCCUCAGGUUUCUCUAAAGCUUUUUUCCCCCAAUUAAUUUAACUUUAUGACCUGCAGCGAGGAAAUUCAGUGGUACCAAACUGAGUAUGCAUCCCCAUUUACAUCUUUCCUAGUGAAAUGCUGCAUGGCAGCAACACUGAGUCCCCAGCACUUCUCUGGCUGAAAGUUACUUUUCCCCACCUUUUCUUCCUUCAUGAUUUAAUUCUACUCGUUUUCUUCAACACAGUAGGAAUAAUGCUGGUGCUUAGAGGAAUGAAUGCUCACCAGACAGCAACUAAAUUCUCCAUACAACUCCACUUUGCUUUGGUGUUUAAUCACCUUCAGAAAUUGUUCCUAAGCUUGUAUAUGCUACUAAGAACAUUAGUCUUUAAAUAACUUUGUGCUAUGGUGGUGUGAGAUGAUUAGGUUGGCAAAGAUUUCUGUUGUGGUGUCAUCAUAAUUUUCAUUAGUACAGUGAAUUAUGACAGCUUGUUCUCUGCUCAAAUUGAUGUGAUUACUACUCUGAAACCCUGGCACAUUUCACUAACACCUGACAUCUGGAAGAGAAAGGUGGGAGGCAAAGCAAGCUCUCAAAGUUGCUGCAUGAUACCCAUUGAUGGUCUCCUCGUUUGUUCCAGCAGCUGCUGCAGCCAAGGGUAAUAGCCUUUGUUGGUCAGUAGAGCUAAUGCAAUUUUUGCAAUGAUAAAACAAAUAGCUCUUGUGAUUAGCAAUGGAAAAUACCAUCAAACGAUGUGUAGCACUGAAUAGGCAGUGACUGGAAUUAGCAGUACAGCCCUAUUUAAACUAAGGUAAUGUGUCAGAAGUGGUGGGUGGAUGAGUUGGAGAGCUAUUUUAAAAAGAACAGAAAGCAUGCAUCAAGUGUACAUCAGAUUGAAGACCCAUAUCAGAACAGAAAUUAUUGUUAUAGCUUGUUAAAUGGAAAAUUGUUCUACCAGCAAAUCUGUGAAGGGGUGACAUUCUACCUUAUCUAACAAAGGAUAAAUGCCAGCCCUUGCAUGAUCGCGGUCCCUGGCAGCCUGGCACUGCACAAGUGACAUUGCUUCUGCAGGAGCCUGGUGCAGCACAGCUCUGCUUUGCGCCCAGCUGCAAAGGGGGAGACAGAUGUACCUGCUCUUCUCUGGUAUGGACACAGCUCAGCAGGACGCCGUGACCUGAAUGGGAACAGCCAGCAUCUCAUCCUUGUUCUCCCUUUAAGGGAGGCCAGUGACACUGUCAGAUCGGUUUUCACACUGUAGCUGCUUGCAGGAGCCCCUUGGAAUGGGAUGGCAGCAAGGGCUGCCCAGUGAGGCCAGGGGUGCCACAGCCCUGUCCAUGACCCUCAACAGCCUGCAGUUCCCCAGUGUGCAUCCAGUGCUGCUGAUGAAAAAUGAUGCUGUGUUGUUGUUUAACCCCAGCCAGCAACUAAGCACCACAGAGGUGCUUGCUCACACUCCAGGUCCCCGGGUGGGAUGGGGGAGACCAUUAGAAGAGUAAAAGUGAGAAAACUCAUGGGCUGAGACAGUGUAGACAAGACUGUCAGAUCACUGCCUUGGCAGAAUAAUCUGCUCUGACACUGAGGAAACCACUGUAUGGGUAAAACUGGGCCCUGACCCAGCCAAAGACAUGCAUGAGCGUGAAACACCAGCACUGCUGCCGCAAGACCUGGGGACCCUGGAUGUACCACACAAGACACCGCUGCCUGGGGACUUGGCUGGCACUGUGCAUCUCCGAAGUCCAAGUGCCUUCAUGCAACUUUUGUGCAUGAGCUGUCACUGUAUGAAGAAAACCCCAAAAAACCCAGGUGGUGUGGUCUUCUUUGAAGACAGUGUCUUAGGCUGCUGGUAACAACCAUGCCUGUGUUGGGCUGUGCUGCAGACACCGGGGAGGCUUGCAAAGGGCCUUGGCAGUGCAUCCAGCUCUUGGCA